rnacentral:rRNA from 1 species
GUGGGGAAUUUUCCGCAAUGGGCGAAAGCCUGACGGAGCGACGCCGCGUGGAGGAUGAAGGAUUUCGGUCUGUAAACUCCUGUCAGGGGGGACGAAUCAACUGACGGUACCCCCAAAGGAAGCAUCGGCUAACUACGUGCCAGCAGCCGCGGUAAGACGUAGGAUGCGAGCGUUGUUCGGAUUUAUUGGGCGUAAAGCGUACGUAGGCGGCUUUUUAAGUCUGGUGUUAAAGCUAGGGGCUCAACCCCUGUGUUGCACUGGAAACUGGAAGGCUUGAGUGUGGUAGGGGAAGGUGGAAUUCCGAGUGUAGCGGUGAAAUGCGUAGAUAUUCGGAAGAACACCGGUGGCGAAAGCGACCUUCUGGGCCAUUACUGACGCUGAGGUACGAAAGCUUGGGGAGCGAACGGGAUUAGAAACCCCUGUAGUCC